rnacentral:rRNA from 1 species
CAGUCGCCGCGGGAAUACGUAGGUCCCGAGCGUUGUCCGGAUUUAUUGGGCGUAAAGCGAGCGCAGGCGGUUAGAUAAGUCUGAAGUUAAAGGCUGCGGCUUAACCAUAGUACGCUUUGGAAACUGUUUAACUUGAGUGCAAGAGGGGAGAGUGGAAUUCCAUGUGUAGCGGUGAAAUGCGUAGAUAUAUGGAGGAACACCGGUGGCGAAAGCGGCUCUCUGGCUUGUAACUGACGCUGAGGCUCGAAAGCGUGGGGAGCAAACAGGAUUAGAUACCCCUGUAGUCCCUGUCUCUUAUACA